rnacentral:rRNA from 1 species
GACGAACGCUGGCGGCGUGGAUAAGACAUGCAAGUCGAACGGAUUCGUCGUCGUAGCAAUACGAUGGCGGGUCAGUGGCGCAAGGGUGCGUAACACGUGGGCAACCUGCCCUGAAGUUGGGGAUAGCCCGCCGAAAGGCGGAUUAAUACCGAAUGUGGCUAGUCAACGAUUGUUGGCGACGCUAAAGGUGGCGCAAGCUGCCGCUUCUGGAUGGGCCCGCGGCCUANCAGCUAGUUGGUGAGGUAACGGCUCACCAAGGCUUUGACGGGUAGCUGGUCUGAGAGGACGACCAGCCACACUGGAACUGAGACACGGUCCAGACUCCUACGGGAGGCAGCAGUGGGGAAUCUUGCGCAAUGGGCGAAAGCCUGACGCAGCAACGCCGCGUGUGUGAUGAAGGUCUUCGGAUCGUAAAGCACUGUCGCGAGGGAAGAUACGCCUGAAGCUAACAUCUUCAGGCUAAGACGGUACCUCGAGGAGGAAGC